rnacentral:rRNA from 1 species
GAUAAACGCUGGCGGCGUGCCUAACACAUGCAAGUCGAACGCGCCCGCAGGGGCAACCCUGUGGGUGAGUGGCGGACGGGUGAGUAACACGUGGGUUAUCUACCUUGAGGUGAGGAAUACCGGCGAGAAAUCGCCGACAAUACCGCAUAGGUUCGGAACCUUCCGAACAAAGUCCCUUUGGGACGUCUCAAGAUGAGCCUGCGUCCGAUUAGCUUCGUUGGUGGGGUAAAAGCCUACCAAGGCGACGAUCGGUAGCUGGUCUGAGAGGACGAUCAGCCACACUGGGAUUGAGAACGGCCCAGACUCCUACGGGGGGCAGCAGUGAGGAAUUUUCGUCAAUGGGGGCAACCCUGAACGAGCAACGCCGCGUGCAGGAAGAAGGUUUUCGGAUCGUAAACUGCUUUUCUUGGGGAAGAGAAGGGACGGUACCCAAGGAAGAAGCCCCGGCUAACUACGUGCCAGCAGCCGCGGUAAUACGUAGGGGGCAAGCGUUGUCCGGAUUUAUUGGGCGUAAAGCGCACGCAGGCGGUCUUUCACGUUUUGAGUGACAGGUGGUGGCUUAACUGCCACAGGCCUCAAAAUACGGGAAGACUUGAGGGCUUGAGAGGGAUACGGAAUUCCAGGUGGAGCGGUGAAAUGCGUAGAGAUCUGGAAGAACACCAAAGGCGAAGGCAGUAUCCUGGCAAGUCACUGACGCUCAGGUGCGAAAGCUAGGGGAGCGAACGGGAUUAGAUACCCCGGUAGUCCUAGCCGUAAACGAUGACCACUAGACGUGGGGGGUAUCGACCCCUUCCGUGUCGCAGCUAACGCAUGAAGUGGUCCGCCUGGGGAGUACGGUCGCAAGAUUAAAACUCAAAGGAAUUGACGGGGACCCGCACAAGCAGCGGAGCGUGUGGUUUAAUUCGAUGCAACGCGAAGAACCUUACCAAGGCUUGACAUGGAUGUGCACCAGCCGUAAUGGGCUGUCCCGAGAGGGCGCAUUCACAGGUGCUGCAUGGCUGUCGUCAGCUCGUGUCGUGAGAUGUUGGGUUAAGUCCCGCAACGAGCGCAACCCUUGCCCCGUGUUACUAACAGGUAAAGCUGAGGACUCUCGGGGGACUGCCGGCGUCAAGCCGGAGGAAGGUGGGGACGACGUCAAGUCAUCAUGGCCCUUACGUCCAGGGCGACACACGUGCUACAAUGGCCGAGACAGAGGGCGGCUAACCCGCGAGGGGGAGCGAAUCCCAGAAACUCGGUCUAAGUUCGGAUCGCAGUCUGCAACUCGACUGCGUGAAGCCGGAAUCGCUAGUAAUCGCGGAUCAGCCACGCCGCGGUGAUACGUUCCCGGGCAUUUACUCACU